AGCGAACGCUGGCGGCGUGCCUAACACAUGCAAGUCGAACGUGAAAGGGAGCAAUCCCAAGUAAAGUGGCGUACGGGUGAGUAACACGUAGGUAAUCUACCCCAGAAUCUGGAAUAACCGGCCGAAAGGCUGGCUAAUACUGGAUAGAGCGACGGAAUCCGUAAUUGGGUUUUUCGGGAAAGGGAGCCUGUAAAAAGGCCUUCGUUCUGGGAUGAGCCUGCGUCCCAUCAGCUAGUUGGUGAGGUAAAAGCUUACCAAGGCAAUGACGGGUAGCUGGUCAGAGAGGAGGAUCAGCCACACUGGAACUGAAACACGGUCCAGACUCCUACGGGAGGCAGCAGGGGGGAAUCUUGCGCAAUGGACGAAAGUCGGACGCAGCAACGCCGCGUGAGUGAAGAAGGCCGUCGGGUUGUAAAGCUCUGUCGAGUGGGACGAAAAUGCUUGGAGUUCACAGCUCCAGGAACUGACGGUACCACUAAAGGAAGCACCGGCUAACUCCGUG
rnacentral:rRNA from 1 species